rnacentral:snoRNA from 1 species
UAUCUAUGAUGAUCCUAUCCCGAACCUGAAUUUCUGUUGAAAAACCUGUUUACGGAUCUGGCUUCUGAGAA